AACGAACGCUGGCGGCAGGCUUAACACAUGCAAGUCGAGCGCCCCGCAAGGGGAGCGGCAGACGGGUGAGUAACGCGUGGGAACGUACCCUUUGCUACGGAAUAGCUCCGGGAAACUGGAAUUAAUACCGUAUGUGCCCUACGGGGGAAAGAUUUAUCGGCAAAGGAUCGGCCCGCGUUGGAUUAGCUAGUUGGUGGGGUAAUGGCCUACCAAGGCGACGAUCCAUAGCUGGUCUGAGAGGAUGAUCAGCCACAUUGGGACUGAGACACGGCCGAAACUCCUCCGGGAGGCAGCAGUGGGGGAUAUUGGACGAUGGGCGCAAGCCUGAUCCAGCCAUGCCGCGGGAGUGAUGAAGGCCUUAGGGUUGUAAAGCUCUUUCACCGGAGAAGAUAAUGACGGUAUCCGGAGAAGAAGCCCCGGCUAACUUCGCGCCAGCCGCCGCGGUAACAC
rnacentral:rRNA from 1 species